rnacentral:lncRNA from 1 species
GCUGUGUUUGGCUAGGUUCUGGAGUGUAGAGCGGCCGCUGGGAGGUGUCGGCGCCUGCGGGCCUAGUUCUGUUCCGCUGGGGCUUGGCGUCCGGGACUGCGGCCGCGCGGUGGGCGGGGCCCUACCUACACCCGCGGUACUAUUAAAAGGAGAACUAGUCAGGGAAGACACUGUGCAGGUUAAUUUGGGAAGUGAUGGUUAACGGUUCUGGCUUGAGACUCCUUAUUUGUGUUGUAAAUUUUGGUGGGGGCAGAGAUGGAAGCUGCUCCAUUCAACAGAGUUUUCAGUCUGGAGACGUAAAGACACUUGAAUUGUAGGUACUGAUUUUGUUCCGGUGUGGUGUGCUGUUUGGCUCUGUGUGCUUCCAUUUGAGCAGUCGGUGGUGGAAUUACUGAUUUUUUUUUUUAAAACCGUCACAGUUAUUUGAAAACGCGUGGUGAAAGGAGCAGAAUGAAGGGAAAAGGGAGGGAGGAAUUCCUGGGGCUUGCCUACUUUUACCUUGAGGAGGUUCCAUUUCUAUAUCGUGGCAAAAGACACGAGAGACCUAGCCUACAAACAUAUACCAAAAAUUAUCUUUUGCCAUGUAUAUUUAUAUUAGCUGGUGUGAGUAAAAGAUAUCAAAUGAAAAUAGCUUUAGAAUGAGGCCUAACACGGAUUUAUUGCAAAUGGAAACAACUGCAAAUAUUGGAGGCAAAAACAUGGAUAGCAUGGACUGUUGAAGGCCCUGUCAUGUGCCUAAUGAUCUUGUCCAUUUUAAGCAGAGAAAAAAAUCAAGGAAACUGAAGAAAAAGAACCUUUCCCCAAAGGAGAUAGAAGAUGGGGAAGAUGAGAUGUCUGAAGAUAAGGACAAUGGCAGUAGAGAUAAGGUUGUCAUCCCUCAGAAGAACCAUAGGAAGGUUACCACUGCUCCAGGAAAUAAAGUCGGGGGAAAAAAGCAUCUGGCUCCCAUGUUUGCUGAGAAAUUAAUACCACCACGCAGGGAGGGAGCCACAGGGGCCAAGCUGCCAAGAGAUAGGAGGAGUGCCAAGCUCGAGGGGGGCCAUGAGGAGAGACGUGAGGACUCUGACGAGAAUGAAGCUGAACCACCUGUAACUUUCAGACUAUUUGUUGGAAACCUGAAUUUCAACAAAACCGUUGCUGAACUAAAAACUGAUCUUAGUGAAUUUUUUGCUAAAAAUGAUGUCGCAGUUGACGGUGUCAGAGUCGGCUUGUCCAGGUAAAUAGAUUGUUGUUAAGAGUUUAUCAGCCCAACAGUGAUUAUUCAGGUCAGACCGUCUUGUGACUUGCUCCUCAUCCCUCAGUAGGACAUUACCUUGGUCUCUUGCAGUUCAGAGCAUUUAAAACCCUUCAGUGGCUUAUUUAGUAAAUCCAUUAUAUUAAUUUUUGCUAUCCCAUUUUUCCAACCAGAAUACUAAAGUAAUCUGAAGAUCUUCCAAGUCAUUCCAGAGACACAUUUUCGUGAUUUUUCAGCUGUGAACAAUGCCAUUUGCCUUAGAAUUAUUUUAAACUAAUCACAAAUUUAAUCAUCA